rnacentral:rRNA from 1 species
AAUGAACGCUGGCGGCGUGCUUAACACAUGCAAGUCGAGCGCGAAAGUGACUUCGGUCACGAGUAGAGCGGCGAACGGGUGAGUAACACGUGGACAACCUGCCUGGGUGGUGGGGGACAACUUCGGGAAACUGAAGCUAAUACCGCAUACGCUUAGCAAUAAGGAAAGAUCGCCUCUCCAUGGAAGCGAUCGCGCCCAGAGGGGUCCGCGGCUGAUUAGCUAGUUGGUGGGGUAAUGGCCUACCAAGGCGACGAUCAGUAGCCGGCCUGAGAGGGUGAUCGGCCACACUGGAACUGAGACACGGUCCAG